rnacentral:rRNA from 1 species
ACGCCGCGUGAGUGACGAAGGUUUUCGGAUCGUAAAACUCUGGGAGGGAAGAAACCGUACCACGUAACUACUGGUACCUUGACGGUACCUCACCAGAAAGCCACGGCUAACUACGUGCCAGCAGCCGCGGUAAUACGUAGGUGGCAAGCGUUGUCCGGAAUUAUUGGGCGUAAAGCGCGCGCAGGCGGUCCCUUAAGUCUGAUGUGAAAGCCCACGGCUCAACCGUGGAGGGUCAUUGGAAACUGGGGGACUUGAGUGCAGAAGAGGAAAGUGGAAUUCCACGUGUAGCGGUGAAAUGCGUAGAGAUGUGGAGGAACACCAGUGGCGAAGGCGACUUUCUGGUCUGUAACUGACGCUGAGGCGCGAAAGCGUGGGGAGCAAACAGGUUAGAUACCCUGGUAGUCCACGCCGUAAACGAUGAGGCUAGUUUAGGGGGUUUCCGCCCCUUAGUGCUGCAGCUAACGCAUUAAGCAUCCGCCUGG